AACGAACGCUGGCGGCAUGCCUAACACAUGCAAGUCGAACGACACCUUCGGGUUUAGUCUCGCACGGGUUCGUAACGCGUGGGAUCCUGCCCUUAGGUUCGGCCUGACUCCCGGAAAGGGCUGCUAAAACCGGAUAUUAUCUUCGAACCGAAGGUUUAUCGCCUUUGGAGGGGCCCGCGUUGGAUUAGCUAGUUGGGAGGGGAAAAGCCUACCACGGCGUCGGUCCAUAGCUGGGCUGUGAGGAUGAUCAGCCACACUGGGCCUGAGACACGGCCCAGACUCUUACGCGAGGGAGCAGAGGGGAAUAUUGGACAAUGGGGGACAGCAUGAUCCAGCAAUGCCGCGUGAGUGAUGAAGGCCGGAGGGUUGUAAUGCUCGUUUACCCGGGAUGAUAAUGACAGUACCGGGAGAAUAAGCACCGGCUAACUACGUG
rnacentral:rRNA from 1 species